AUUGAACGCUGGCGGCAUGCUUUACACAUGCAAGUCGAACGGCAGCACGGGAGCUUGCUCCUGGUGGCGAGUGGCGAACGGGUGAGUAAUGCAUCGGAACGUAUCCAAUAAUGGGGGAUAGCCCGGCGAAAGCCGGAUUAAUACCGCAUACGCCCUGAGGGGGAAAGCGGGGGAUUCGCAAGGACCUCGCGUUGAUGGAGCGGCCGAUGUCGGAUUAGCUAGUAGGUAGGGUAAAGGCCUACCUAGGCGACGAUCCGUAGCUGGUCUGAGAGGACGACCAGCCACACUGGGACUGAGACACGGCCCAGACUCCUACGGGAGGCAGCAGUGGGGAAUUUUGGACAAUGGGGGCAACCCUGAUCCAGCCAUGCCGCGUGAGUGAAGAAGGCCUUCGGGUUGUAAAGCUCUUUCGCGAGGAAAGAAAUCUUACCUGCUAAUACCGGGUGAGGAUGACGGUACCUUGAGAAGAAGCACCGGCUAACUACGUGCCAGCUGCCGCGGUAAGAC
rnacentral:rRNA from 1 species